CCCACCUGGGGAGGUCUGCCCCAUUAGGAAUUAAAUCUAGCUGGUGCUGCUGCAGCUGCAUUGGCAAAUGGGAGAGGGAAGGAGGCAGCAGCAUACAAACAGGACUAUUGUGCUAGGUGAAACUCAACACCAACUUGGCUAUGCAGGUUGUCUCCACCACUCUGUGUGUAAUAAUGGAUGUUUUGGACAAGGUCACAACUGUUGGACAAAUAUAUACAGGGAUAAUACACUCUGCAUGUCUGGAGCAGCACAUCUCUGGUGUCUGUAUUAGAGCUCAGAUCUCUUGAAUUCCGGUUCCUGGAUCUUUUGCUGAAUCAAUUGAAGAGACAUGUCCACUGUCAUUUGUGGAUGUUGUUUCAUCUUAUUUAUUUAUAAAUCAUUGGGGUACAUGCAGUAAAGACAAAAAAAAGAAGUUUCUACAUGGAAAAGAAAAUGGAAUACCCAUACAGUACCCCCCAUCCAUUAAAGCAGACUUCAGAAAUAAGUGUAAGGACCAUAUUAUUGGUGCAUGUUGAGGUUUCCCUCUAUUCUGAGUGACUCUUGAACAUCAGAUAUGUGCCAGCUACAAAGAGUGACUGAACAUGCUUGGGUCCAAGGACUAUGCUGGAGUGGGAUCACACGAUGGGAUAGAGAAGUUGGGACCAAGGAGAUCUGUGAGAGAAACUGCCUAUUUCUUGUUCAAAGGAGCCAAAAGCUACACAGAUGUGAAGAUCAGUGAGCAAGAAACUUCUCAGUGAAAAACAUGAGUCUCCUAAUAUCAUUAUGCUAAUUUGAUGGAUAUUGUUGGUGGAGCAUGGCUUCACUGCAUUGCCAUGAUGGACAGUGCCAUUCUUGACACAUGAUUAGAGAUAUGCCUUCUUUUGCAGUCAACCCACUCUCUUCAGCAGAUGAAUAUAAAAGUGUCUGAAAUGAAGAAAUUUCUUAUUUCUUCAUAAGUGUCUAAAUUAAGAACUGACCCUCCUGAUUCUCUGGUGAGAACUUUACAGUAAGUAUCGUAAAAUUUCAAUAAAAGUGCAUGUUUCAGAUCUAUCCUAAGCUUUUGCAACAACAGUUAGCAGAAAUCUGGAUGUUCAGGCAAAUGACAAAGACUACCUGUGCUGUCAUGAAAAUCACAUCAUUUAAUUUUCAUCUAGCUGUGUAAAAUAUAAGCCAUCAUUUUGGGAGACAUUGUAUAGUAUGCAGUGAUAAAAGUAUAUAGAUUUGUAAUUAUUAGAACUGAUAUAUUAAGCAAAAACCCAGAAUGCUCAAUGCUAAGAUUAAAAAUGUUCUGAUAUUUUGAAAGAUAUUACUUUUUUUUUUCUUACCCUACCUUGUUGUAGAAUUAAAUGAAAUUUAACUCAGCAUAUUGGUCAAAUGUUUGAAGUAUAAAAUGUUCUUUUUAAGCAAUGCUAUACAACAAUUCCCUAAAUAUAAGCUAAAUCUCACCAGAAGGACUGUACAACAGAGUUAAAGCCCAACAUAACUGUAGUAACAGAAAAGGAAAUAAUGGUCUUAGAUAUAGCAAAUUGUAGAAUCUUUUAUUUUAUCUGAGUUUGGUUUUGACAUGAGAUACACUGUGAAUAUGCAAUUUAAUUAAAUACAUUAACUUCAGAAUCACACAAGCUUUGCUUAUGCUUUUUGCUGCUUGUGUCAUGUUGUUUCCCUUUUGAUUGCUGUGACUUGAGAACAAGAAUGUACUGCAGAAUCUGUGAGACUCCACUGCUUCUAAAAGUUGGUACUCAUAUAAAACUUGAUAUUACAAA